rnacentral:rRNA from 1 species
UAGGGAAUCUUCGGCAAUGGACGGAAGUCUGACCGAGCAACGCCGCGUGAGUGAAGAAGGUUUUCGGAUCGUAAAGCUCUGUUGUAAGAGAAGAACGAGUGUGAGAGUGGAAAGUUCACACUGUGACGGUAUCUUACCAGAAAGGGACGGCUAACUACGUGCCAGCAGCCGCGGUAAUACGUAGGUCCCGAGCGUUGUCCGGAUUUAUUGGGCGUAAAGCGAGCGCAGGCGGUUAGAUAAGUCUGAAGUUAAAGGCUGGGGCUUAACCAUAGUAGGCUUUGGAAACUGUUUAACUUGAGUGCAAGAGGGGAGAGUGGAAUUCCAUGUGUAGCGGUGAAAUGCGUAGAUAUAUGGAGGAACACCGGUGGCGAAAGCGGCUCUCUGGCUUGUAACUGACGCUGAGGCUCGAAAGCGUGGGGAGCAAACAGGAUUAGAUACCCUGGUAGUCCACGCUGUAAACGAUGAGUGCUAGGUGUUAGACCCUUUCCGGGGUUUAGUGCCGUAGCUAACGCAUUAAGCACUCCGCCUGGGGAGUACGACCGCAAGGUUG